UACGUAGGGUGCGAGCGUUGUCCGGAAUUACUGGGCGUAAAGAGCUCGUAGGUGGUUUGUCGCGUUGUUCGUGAAAACUCACAGCUUAACUUUGGGCGUGCGGGCGAUACGGGCAGACUGGAGUACUGCAGGGGAGACUGGAAUUCCUGGUGUAGCGGUGGAAUGCGCAGAUAUCAGGAGGAACACCGGUGGCGAAGGCGGGUCUCUGGGCCUUACCUGACGCUGAGGCGCGAAAGCUAGGGGAGCGAACAGG
rnacentral:rRNA from 1 species